rnacentral:rRNA from 1 species
GGAGGCGAAUCACAUAAAAGACCAUCUCAGUUCGGAUUGUAGUCUGCAACUCGACUACAUGAAGCUGGAAUCGCUAGUAAUCGCGAAUCAGCAUGUCGCGGUGAAUACGUUCCCGGGUCUUGUACACACCGCCCGUCACACCAUGGGAGUUGGAUAUGCCCGAAGUCAGUGACCCAACCGAGAGGAGGGAGCUGCCGAAGGUGGAGCCGAUGACUGGGGUGAAGUCGUAACAAGGUACC